CUCCCUCACAAACCAGUGUGCAGUCCUGGCUCAUGUUCAGUUGUGUGUGUAGUGGAGGAAGGAGAGAGCGCAUGGUAAGCAGCAGAAGAGGGGGAUGUUAUUCUGUGAAAGAGAUGGAGAUUGGAAGACGGGAUAUGCAGUGAGAGGAUAAACAGAGGGGGCUGCUGAGCGUGUGGGACGCUGGCAGGAUUAGAGUGUGGAGCAGCGGCGGUGUUCUGAUCCUGCAGACUGCCGAGGAGUCAACAUUGCCAGAAGGCGCCGAGAGGCUCAUCUGUAUGGCGACAUGGUGGCGGUGUCACCCUUAAGAUGCUAAGAAGGAAACAAGAGCCUUAAGGAGUAAACACUGAGUGCUGCAGUGGAAGAGACUCUCAGAUUCUCCUUAACAUCCAGCAAAGGCAAAUGUGCACCAUGGAACACUGCCACAUAUCAAAAUCCAAACAAAUAUUUGAUUCAUUUGCUUCAAAAUGCACAAGGCAUUUUACCACACAAUGGACAUAAAGUGUGAUUAAGACUGUGUCCACAAUAACGCACUAUAAGCUCCUACUCUUAAAGCUGCAGUGCGUAA